AAAAAUAUACUAAAUUAAUAUAUCAAUACAUACUGAAAUAUACCGAAGAAUAUAAUUGGUAUACCGAUGCACUAAAUUCAAAAUUUGCAUAUACAAAAUGUAACCGAUAAUCAAAAGAAUCUCCUCCAAUAAUACAUAUUCAGUUUUAAGGUCACAACAUAGCAAGUAUAAUACUUUCUCGUAUGCAUGUGUUCAAUCCUUUUCCUGCCUGACCGUGUGGAAAAGUCAAACCGCUAUCCCUAACUCUAAGACAAAGUACACACCCCGAUAGCAUUUAAGGGAUUUUGGCUUGGGUCGGUGAAGAGAAAAAUUAUGAAUUUAUGCAGAUCGGGUUGAAAGGGAGCGACAAGGAUUCAUUUGUGUCAUCAGUCAACUUGAUGGUGUAAUUAUAGAACAUUACCCAAAAAAGCAACAAUGCUGGAAAGUCAAGUUCAAGUGCUGCGCAGAGCCGUGGAAAGUGUUAAUAAUGAUGAUGAUGCUGAAGCUAUCCGCCAUCCUGAAACGGGAUGCUGAUGGCUGGAAACUGGAUAUUCCGCUCAAAUUCGAAUAAUUGACUGCAGUUACGCGCCUGUUACGAGGACACUAUCCUGGAGUUUAUUAAUUUGCAUGUCAGAACAAUUUCUCUCUCAAAAGGUGAAAUUUUAAACCAAAACACGAUUGCCACUGACAGAUACAUGACGUUCUUGGGAAGUAAAUAAAAAAGCAUAAAAUUUAUCUUCAUUAAGAUUGAGCAACGGUUUUAUAGCCGUCAGAAGUUCCGGAAGUGCACUACCUGUAAAUAAACUAAACAAGCAUCCGGAGAAGAAGGCGGUUGAGCUCAAAGAGUGUUGCAUCAAGUCAACAAACGCCAUAUGCGGAGUGUAAAUUGAGAUAAAAAGAUCAACGGAUUUGAACUUCACAAUUGCACAGUUGCAUCUGUAAGAGACGAUCACCAAGUCAAAGCUCAGCAAUGAUGUGAGAAAAUUAGCAAGAUCUGGCAACAAAGUGAGUCGUUUGUUGUUGCGCUAGUUGUCACCAAAAUGAAGCUACAGGUGUCAAGCAAGGUACACAAGAUGUGGCCAUAAAGAAGACAUCGCCCAGGCAGUUAAACUGCCAUUAAAACACACAAAAAAUCAUUUUGACGGUCGCUGCUCUAGAAAAACUUAUGAAGAUACGACAAUAAAUUAAAAAUUUUAUGAGGCACACGAGUCAACGCUUGAGGUCUGCAAAGUUCACCUGAAUAGUUAGCUAGUUUUUAUUUGUCUCUGUUUUAGAAAAUCUUUUUUUUUUUUUGUGAAAAACACCGGAUGUGUAUGUAGAUAAUUAGUUUUUCGGAACUCGCGCACCACAAGAGUCAUCAAUGUUAAGUCGGCUUCUAUGAUGAAUAAUAGACAGAAAGACAGUGAAUUUUUCAGUAUUACACUUUGACUUUGAAUGUUAAAAUUGCAAUGCAUAUCUAAAAUAGUUUCUACAUACUCAAGACGCUCAAUGAGAUUGACCCUUUUGCGGAAUUGUAACAAGUUUAACCGAACACGGGACAUGGGCCAUUUUGAAAAGUUUCGCGCAGCUUGACCUAUGAAUGCGAGGCAACUGUAAAAGAGAACAACUGGGACACUGAAACUCCCCUGUCUUGGAACUGGGCAAACGAGUUGCAGCGCCAAGACUAUGAAAAAAAAAUCUGCGCACUUUGGAAAAGGCGGGCAAAGCUAAUUUGAAUAUAAAAAUCAUUAAAAUUCAACGUGAAAACGUCUUAAGUUUCCUUCGUUGGGACGAGAACUCGUACUGUGAGAAGAAAUGUUCAAAAGUACGGUGCUGACCUCUGAUCCCGCUGGGUGUUCUAUCCCUGUCCCAUCCCUGUCCCAAAGGAACUCGGAAAUUAUGUGCGUGACUGACCAAUGCGCUGACCAAUGUCCAGUUUGUAAGCUGACCGCUGCACAUCCUUUAAGACAAUACAUCCCUUUACUUUAGACUCGUUGUCCUUCAACUGUCCCGUUUUGGCAUUGGGCCGCGCUUUAUACUGGCCGAUUGCCUCAUGCCCCAUGCUUCAUGUUGUCGUCUUAAUGAUUAAUAAAGUCUAAUUUAUGAAAAUAAUCUGUUUGCUUGCCGUUGU